UCAAGCGCGAAAAGGGCGUUUGGUGAAUGCCUUGGCAGUAAGAGGCGAUGAAGGACGUGAUACUCUGCGAUAAGUUAUGGGGAGCUGAGAAUAAGCUUUGAUCCAUAAAUUUCCGAAUGGGGCAACCCACCUGAUACUUUGUUAUUAAUACUACUUAUUGUAGUGCCGUUUAAGGGUUCGCCCUUAGUCUGCGUUGCAUGCGGUGGGGCAUAAUAAUAGGGUAAACCAGGUAUUUAUAACUUGAAUACAUAGGGUUAUAAAAGCAAACCCGGGGAACUGAAACAUCUAAGUACCCGGAGGAAAGGACAUCAAUUAGAUACUCCCCUAGUAGCGGCGAGCGAACGGGGACCAGCCGAGCCAUGAGUGUGACUAGAAUGUGUUGGAAAGCACAACCAAAGUGGGUGACAGUCCCGUAUAGGAAGCAUGAUUGGACGUAUUAAGUAGGGCGGGACACGUGAAAUCCUGUUCGAAGAUCGGAGGACCACCUCCGAAGGCUAAGUACUCCUUACUGACCGAUAGUGAACCAGUACCGUGAGGGAAAGGUGAAAAGCACCCCGACGAGGGGAGUGAAACAGUUUCUGAAACCGGACGCCUACAAUCAGUUGGAGGGCCCUUGCGGCCUGACAGCGUACCUUUUGUAUAAUGGGUCAUCGACUUAGUGUAUCUAGCAAGCUUAAGCCGUUAGGUGUAGGCGCAGCGAAAGCGAGUCUUAAUAGGGCGAAUGAGUUUGUGGGAUCAGACCCGAAACCGAGUGAUCUAGGCAUGUCCAGGAUGAAGGUAAGGUAACACUUACUGGAGGUCCGAACCCACACCUGUUGAAAAAGGUCGGGAUGAGUUGUGCCUAGGGGUGAAAGGCCAAUCAAACUCGGAGAUAGCUGGUUCUCCGCGAAAUCUAUUUAGGUAGAGCGUCGCACGAAUACCUUGGGGGGUAGAGCACUGAAUGGGUAAUGGGGACUCACCGUCUUACUGAUCCUAAUCAAACUCCGAAUACCCAAGAGUAAUAUGCGGCAGACACACUGCGGAUGCUAACGUCCGUAGUGGAGAGGGAAACAACCCUGACCCUCAGCUAAGGCCCCUAAUUCAUGGCUAAGUGGGAAAGCAGGUGGGACGACCAAAACAACCAGGAAGUUGGCUUAGAAGCAGCCAUCUUUUAAAGAUAGCGUAACAGCUCACUGGUCUAAUUAAGUUGUCCUGCGGCGAAGAUGUAACGGGGCUCAAGCCAUGAGCCGAAACUUCGGAUGCAUUUAAUGCAUGGUAGCGGAGCGUAGUGUGACAUAGUUCCAUGCGUCCUUCGUUUUAUAGCGGACUGCCCAGGCUUUCGAGCCUGUGUGGAGGCGCGUAAAAUACUGGACGCAAGGAGCUUUCUGUGAAGCCGGCCUGUGAGGGAUCCGGUGGAGAGAUCACUAGUGAGAAUGAUGACAUGAGUAACGACAAAGGGGGUGAGAGACCCCCUCGCCGAAAAUCCAAGGGUUCCUGCUUAAAGCUAAUCUGAGCAGGGUAAGCCGGCCCCUAAGCCGAGGGCGAAAGCCGUAGGCGAUGGGAACCAGGUUAAUAUUCCUGGGCCAGGAGGAAGUGACGGAUCACAAAGAUUGUUGGAUCAGGCGUAGUUGCCCCAGCAGUUCAGUGGUUCCUGGAAAUAGCCCUCCAUCAGACCGUACCCUAAACCGACACAGGUGGAUAGGUAGAGUAUACCAAGGCGCUUGAGAGAACUAUGUUGAAGGAACUCGGCAAAAUACCUCCGUAAGUUCGCGAGAAGGAGGCCCGGUUUCUACGCAAGUAUUGGCUGGGGGCACAAACCAGGGGGUGGCGACUGUUUACUAAAAACACAGGGCUCUGCGAAGUCGUAAGACGACGUAUAGGGUCUGACGCCUGCCCGGUGCCUGAAGGUUAAAAGGAGAGGUGAGAGCUCCGAAUUGAAGCCCAGGUAAACGGCGGCCGUAACUAUAACGGUCCUAAGGUAGCGAAAUUCCUUGUCGGG
rnacentral:rRNA from 1 species